AUGACACAUAAUAAACUCAGAGUGCUACUUGUUGAUAAGAAGGUUCUUAUUGUCUUAGAUGAUGUGUGGGAGAAGAAUCCAGAUACACUAAAAUCUGUGAAGCCUAUGCUAAGGCUUGGUGUGGCCUGCACAGUGACAGUUAUUGUAACCACAAGAGAUGAAGCCAUUGCAAGGGAAAUUUGUCAUACAAUUGAGCCAUACAAGCUAGAGACUUUAACAGACAAAAAUUGCUGGAAAAUAAUAAAACAGAAGACUGCCUUUAAAUAUCGAGUCUACAAGAAACAAUUGAAGCAUACAGGAAGGGAGAUUGCCACCAAGUGCGGAGGUGUCGCCUUAGCAGCUCAAUCACUUGGAUACGCUCUGAAUGGCAAGACGUUUGAU
rnacentral:rRNA from 1 species